GAAUAUUGGACAAUGGGGGAAACCCUGAUCCAGCAACGCCGCGUGGAGGAAGAAGGUCUUCGGAUCGUAAACUCCUGUCAGGUGGGACGAAGGUCCGUCGGUGAACAGCCGUGCGGGCUUGACGGUACCGCCAGAGGAAGCCCCGGCUAACUCCGUGCCAGCAGCCGCGGUAAUACGGAGGGGGCAAGCGUUAUUCGGAAUUAUUGGGCGUAAAGGGCGCGUAGGCGGCCCUGCAAGUUGAAGGUGAAAUCCCUCGGCUCAACCGAGGAACUGCCUUCAAAACUGCAAGGCUUGAGGCCGGGAGGGGCCAGUGGAAUUCCCAGUGUAGCGGUGAAAUGCGUAGAGAUUGGGAGGAACACCGGUGGCGAAGGCGGCUGGCUGGACCGGUUCUGACGCUGAUGCGCGAAAGCGUGGGUAGCAAACAGG
rnacentral:rRNA from 1 species